rnacentral:rRNA from 1 species
AUUGAACGCUGGCGGCAGGCCUAACACAUGCAAGUCGAACGAGUGGCGGACGGGUGAGUAAUGUCUGGGAAACUGCCUGAUGGAGGGGGAUAACUACUGGAAACGGUAGCUAAUACCGCAUACCAUCGGAUGUGCCCAGAUGGGAUUAGCUAGUAGGUGGGGUAACGGCUCACCUAGGCGACGAUCCCUAGCUGGUCUGAGAGGAGGACCACCCACACUGGAACUGAGAUACUGUCCCGGCUCCUCCGGGAGGCAGCAGGGGGGAAUAUUGCACAAUGGGCGCCAGCCUGAUGCACCCAUGGCGCGUGUAUGAAGAAGGCCUUCGGGUUGUAAAGUACUUUCAGCGGGGAGGCGUUACCCGCAGAAGAAGCACCGGCUAACUCCUGGCCAGCCGCCGCGGUAAUAC